UUAUCCAAAAACUUAAAAUCAGAUCUCCUAUUGUUGAAAAUUAGAAGCACGGUGAAAUCACGGAAGUGGAAGAAAUGGAACCCAAAAACUUAGAAAUUGGUUUAUCUCCUGGAACUUUCAACCGAGUUCAGAAUGAUCAAGAAUUUAUGCAAAGUUUAGCUGAUAAUGCGCUUCAAGCACAUAAUGCAGUUUAUGGUGAGGUAGUCAAAUAGUACAUACACAGGAAGCGUCAGAAGCAAGCAUCCAACCCGAGGAAGCAUCAGGAGCAAGCAUCCAACCUGAGGAGCAUACAGAUAGCCAGACGUUUUCUACUAUAGAUGGGGGGCUGGGUGAAGACGAAGACUUUGUACCGAUAGUGCAAGGCGAAAGGCAGGUGUGGCUCGAUGCUCCGACGAAACUGAUGU